rnacentral:rRNA from 1 species
CAGCAGCCGCGGUAAUACGUAGGGUGCGAGCGUUAAUCGGAAUUACUGGGCGUAAAGGGUGCGCAGGCGGUUAUAUAAGACAGAUGUGAAAUCCCCGGGCUCAACCUGGGAACUGCGUUUGUGACUGUAUGACUAGAGUACGGUAGAGAGGGGUGGAAUUCCUGGUGUAGCAGUGAAAUGCGUAGAUAUCANGAGGAACAUCGAUGGCGAAGGCAGCCCCUUGGACCUGUACUGACGCUCAUGCACGAAAGCGUGGGGAGCAAACAGGAUUAGAUACCCUGGUAGUCCACGCCCUAAACGAUGAUCACUAGUUGUUCGGAAAGGUGACUUUCUGANUAACGUAGCUAACGCGUGAAGUGAUCCGCCUGGGGAGUACGGUCGCAAGAUUAAAACUCAAAGGAAUUGACGG